AUACUCUGGUUUCUCUUCAGAUCGUAUAAAUCUUUCGCCUUUUACUAAAGAUUUCCGUGGAGAGGAACAAUUCUGAGUCUAAGCUAAUUUUUUGAGGCCUUGUGCUCUACAAGGCU
ensembl:snRNA U5 U5 spliceosomal RNA